GUUAAUAAGUCUUAUAUUUGUUAUGGUUUGAAAGGAGGCAGUAUUAGGAGUCUUAAUUUAAACAUUGCAUUGAGGUCUUUGUUUCGUGGGCACAUGCAUAGGAUCACAUACAUGACUUUCUUUGCUGAGGAUGUUCAUCUUUUGGCUAGUGUGAGUCUAGAGGGAAGGGUAUUUGUUUGGAAGAUAUCUGAAGGUCCAGAUGAGGAGGAUAAGCCACAGAUUACAGUGAAGAUAGUUAUUGCUGUUCAGAUAUUAGGCGAUGUUGAAUAUGUACAUCCGCGUGUUUGUUGGCACCGUCACAAACAA